rnacentral:tRNA from 1 species
UCCCUGGUAGCUCAGUUGGUAAAGAGUCUGCCUGCAGUGCAGGAGACCUAGGUUCAAUCCCUGGCUCAGGAA